rnacentral:rRNA from 1 species
UACGAAGGGGGCUAGCGUUGUUCGGAAUUACUGGGCGUAAAGCGCGCGCAGGCGGUCUUCCAAGUCAGUGGUGAAAGCCCGGAGCUCAACUCCGGGAACUGCCAUUGAAACUGUUAGACUUGAGGAUGAGAGAGGUGAGUGGAAUUCCCAGUGUAGAGGUGAAAUUCGUAGAUAUUGGGAAGAACACCGGUGGCGAAGGCGGCUCACUGGCUCAUUACUGACGCUCAGGCGCGAUAGCGUGGGGAUCAAACAGG